rnacentral:lncRNA from 1 species
GGAGCCUAACACUGGGCUUGACCUCAAGACGCUGAGAUCAUGACUUGAAAUGGAAUCAAGAGUCAGGCACUAAACUGACAGAGCCACCCACGUGCCUGGUAAGGUGUAUAGACGUGGGUAUAAAUGUACUCUUGGAUAAGAAUGCACACACCUGGAAAUUCAAAUUUGUGGGGUAAGACUCAAGAGAGGAACUUGGAGGGACCAGGAGCCGCAUCAGGAAGGGGCUUCUUUUAAGGAACUCCCUCAUUACACUUUAUAAUCCAAAGGAGAUUUUAUAACUCAGUCAACAUAGAAACUGACUUGUUUUUACCCCAGGUAAACAUAUCUAUCUCCCAUUGAUAUCAAAUCCAAAAUAUCACCUAUAUUUUGUUCAGAGGUCUCCAUCAAAUGACUAGUUAAAAGUGAAAUUAUCAGUUCUUGGCAAGAGUGAAGAUAAGUUAUUUAAUAAAUUUUAAUAAGCCAAGUAGAUUUUAAUACAUUCUUUUUUCUGUCUUUCCUUCUGUUCCUUCUGUUUGUUGUUGUUGUUGUUGUUUUACUUUUAAUUAAUAAAACCAGUCCACAGGCAUACACAAGAAUGUAAAUGUCCAGGAGUAUUUAGUGUUACCAUUGUUUUCCUGAAUGCAACUUACAUGUUACAGGUUAUUACCACUCCCAAAUUAUUAAUUUUAGGCCUCAAUCUAUAGAAGUAUAAUACAGAUCUUUCCCCUUCUUUAGUGUAAAAUGAUGAUGAUACUCUUUCACAUAGGAACAAG